rnacentral:rRNA from 1 species
UACGAAGGGUGCGAGCGUUGUUCGGAAUGACUGGGCGUAAAGCGCAUGUAGGCGGAUGUUUAAGUCAGGGGUGAAAUCCCGGGGCUCAACCCCGGAACGGCCUUUGAUACUGGAGAUCUGGAGUACGGGAGAGGUGAGUGGAAUUCCGAGUGUAGAGGUGAAAUUCGUAGAUAUUCGGAAGAACACCGGUGGCGAAGGCGGCUCACUGGCCCGUAACUGACGCUGAGGUGCGAAAGCGUGGGGAGCAAACAGG